AAAUUGAAGAGUUUGAUCAUGGCUCAGAUUGAACGCUGGCGGCAGGCCUAACACAUGCAAGUCGAACGGUAACAGGAAGCAGCUUGCUGCUUCGCUGACGAGUGGCGGACGGGUGAGUAAUGUCUGGGAAACUGCCUGAUGGAGGGGGAUAACUACUGGAAACGGUAGCUAAUACCGCAUAACGUCGCAAGACCAAAGGGGGGGGACCUUCGGGCCUCUUGCCAUCGGAUGUGCCCAGAUGGGAUUAGCUUGUUGGUGGGGUAACGGCUCACCAAGGCGACGAUCCCUAGCUGGUCUGAGAGGAU
rnacentral:rRNA from 1 species